GACGAACGCUGGCGGCGUGCUUAACACAUGCAAGUCGAACGGGCCCGCUCUCUUUUUUGGGGGUGGGUUGAGUGGCGAACGGGUGAGUAUCACGUGAGUAACCUGCCCCCUGCUCCUGGAUAACUGCUUGAAAGGGCGGCUAAUACGGGGUGUGCCGGCUGGUCCGCAUGGGCCUGGUCGGGAUAGUUUCAUCUUCGGGUGUUUCGGUGGGGGAUGGGCUCGCGGCCUAUCAGCUUGUUGGUGGGGUGAUGGCCCACCAAGGCGGGGACGGGUAGCCGGCCUGAGAGGGUGGGCGGCCACACUGGGACUGAGACACGGCCCAGACUCCUGCGGGAGGCAGCAGUGGGGGGUAUUGCACAAUGGGCGGAAGCCUGAUGCAGCGACGUCGCGUGAGGGAUGGAGGCCUUCGGGUUGUGAACCUCUUUCUCCGGUGGUGAAGGCCCUGUCCGUUGCGGCGGGGUUGACGGUAGCCGGGUAUGAAGCGCCGGCUAACUACGUG
rnacentral:rRNA from 1 species